UACGUAGGGUGCAAGCGUUGUCCGGAAUUAUUGGGCGUAAAGAGCUCGUAGGCGGUUUGUCGCGUCUGGUGUGAAAAUCCAGGGCUUAACCCUGGACCUGCAUCGGGUACGGGCAGACUAGAGUGCGGUAGGGGAGAUCGGAAUUCCUGGUGUAGCGGUGAAAUGCGCAGAUAUCAGGAGGAACACCGGUGGCGAAGGCGGAUCUCUGGGCCGUAACUGACGCUGAGGAGCGAAAGCGUGGGGAGCGAACAG
rnacentral:rRNA from 1 species